GUGGGGAAUAUUGGACAAUGGGCGAAAGCCUGAUCCAGCCAUGCCGCGUGUGUGAAGAAGGUCUUCGGAUUGUAAAGCACUUUAAGUUGGGAGGAAGGGCAGUAAGUUAAUACCUUGCUGUUUUGACGUUACCGACAGAAUAAGCACCGGCUAACUUCGUGCCAGCAGCCGCGGUAAUACGAAGGGUGCAAGCGUUAAUCGGAAUUACUGGGCGUAAAGCGCGCGUAGGUGGUUUUGUAAGUUGGAGGUGAAAUCCCCGGGCUCAACCUGGGAACUGCCUCCAAAACUGCAUGACUAGAGUACGGUAGAGGGUAGUGGAAUUUCCUGUGUAGCGGUGAAAUGCGUAGAUAUAGGAAGGAACACCAGUGGCGAAGGCGACUACCUGGACUGAUACUGACACUGAGGUGCGAAAGCGUGGGGAGCAAACAGGAUUAGGUACCCGUGUAGUCC
rnacentral:rRNA from 1 species